rnacentral:rRNA from 1 species
CCUACGGGGGGCAGCAGUAGGGAAUCUUCGGCAAUGGACGAAAGUCUGACCGAGCAACGCCGCGUGAGUGAAGAAGGUUUUCGGAUCGUAAAACUCUGUUGUUAGAGAAGAACAAGGACGUUAGUAACUGAACGUCCCCUGACGGUAUCUAACCAGAAAGCCACGGCUAACUACGUGCCAGCAGCCGCGGUAAUACGUAGGUGGCAAGCGUUGUCCGGAUUUAUUGGGCGUAAAGCGAGCGCAGGCGGUUUCUUAAGUCUGAUGUGAAAGCCCCCGGCUCAACCGGGGAGGGUCAUUGGAAACUGGGAGACUUGAGUGCAGAAGAGGAGAGUGGAAUUCCAUGUGUAGCGGUGAAAUGCGUAGAUAUAUGGAGGAACACCAGUGGCGAAGGCGGCUCUCUGGUCUGUAACUGACGCUGAGGCUCGAAAGCGUGGGGAGCAAACAGGAUUAGAUACCCUAGUAGUC